rnacentral:rRNA from 1 species
GCAGUAGCCGCGGGAAUACGAAGGGGGCUAGCGUUAAUCGGAAUUACUGGGCGUAAAGCGUGCGCAGGCGGUUCGUUAAGACAGAUGUGAAAUCCCCGGGCUUAACCUGGGAACUGCAUUUGUGACUGGCGAGCUAGAGUAUGGCAGAGGGGGGUAGAAUUCCACGUGUAGCAGUGAAAUGCGUAGAGAUGUGGAGGAAUACCGAUGGCGAAGGCAGCCCCCUGGGCCAAUACUGACGCUUAUGCACGAAAGCGUGGGGAGCAAACAGGAUUAGAUACCCCCGUAGUCCCUGUCUCUUAUAC